rnacentral:rRNA from 1 species
CUACGGGAGGCAGCAGUAGGGAAUUUUCCGCAAUGGGCGAAAGCCUGACGGAGCAAUACCGCGUGAGGGAAGACGGCCUAUGGGUUGUAAACCUCUUUUUUCAGGGAGGAAUUUUGACGUGUACCUGAAGAAUAAGCAUCGGCUAACUCCGUGCCAGCAGCCGCGGUAGGACGGAGGAUGCAAGUGUUAUCCGGAAUCACUGGGCGUAAAGCGUCUGUAGGUGGUUGAACAAGUCAACUGUUAAAUCUUGAGGCUCGACUUCAAAAUCGCAGUCGAAACUGUUUGACUAGAGUAUAGUAGGGGUAAAGGGAAUUUCCAGUGGAGCGGUGAAAUGCGUAGAUAUUGGAAAGAACACCGAUGGCGAAGGCACUUUACUGGGCUAUUACUGACACUCAGAGACGAAAGCUAGGGUAGCAAAUGGGAUUAGAUACCCCAGUAGUCCUAGCCGUAAACAAUGGAUACUAGAUGUUGAACAGAUCGACCUGUGCAGUAUCAAAGCUAACGCGUUAAGUAUCCCGCCUGGGAAGUAUGCUCGCAAGAGUGAAACUCAAAG